UCCAAGUAUGAAAGUAUAUGAUCCUUUUGAGUUCGCUUUCUAUUAAUUCCAUUUCUAAUUCAAAACUAAUGUACGUCGCUUAUAUAUACUUAUUGCAGAUUGGCCGCACUUUUGUUUCAUCCAUCAAAUA